rnacentral:rRNA from 1 species
GACGAACGCUGGCGGCGUGCUUAACACAUGCAAGUCGAACGGAAAGGCCCUGCUUUUGUGGGGUGCUCGAGUGGCGAACGGGUGAGUAACACGUGAGUAACCUGCCCUUGACUUUGGGAUAACUUCAGGAAACUGGGGCUAAUACCGGAUAGGAGCUCCUGCUGCAUGGUGGGGGUUGGAAAGUUUCGGCGGUUGGGGAUGGACUCGCGGCUUAUCAGCUUGUUGGUGGGGUAGUGGCUUACCAAGGCUUUGACGGGUAGCCGGCCUGAGAGGGUGACCGGCCAGAUUGGGACUGAGAUACGGCCCAGACUCCUACGGGAGGCAGCAGUGGGGAAUAUUGCACAAUGGGCGGAAGCCUGAUGCAGCAACGCCGCGUGCGGGAUGACGGCCUUCGGGUUGUAAACCGCUUUCGCCUGUGACGAAGCGUGAGUGACGGUAAUGGGUAAAGAAGCACCGGCUAACUACGUG